rnacentral:rRNA from 1 species
AUUGAACGCUGGCGGCAGGCCUAACACAUGCAAGCCGAACGGCAGCCCAGAAGCGCUUGCUCUUUGGGUGGCGAGUGGCGGACGGGUGAGUAACGUCUGGGCAACUGCCCGAUGGAGGGGGACAACUACUGGAAAUGGUAGCUAAUACCGCAUAACGUCGCGAGACCAAAGGGGGGCACCUGCCGGCCUCACACCAGCGGACGCGCCCAGAUGGGAUUAGCUAGUAGGUGGGGUAAUGGCUCACCUAGGCGACGAUCCCUAGCUGGUCUGAGAGGAUGACCAGCCACACUGGAACUGAGACACGGUCCAGACUCCUACGGGAGGCAGCAGUGGGGAAUAUUGCACAAUGGGCGCAAGCCUGAUGCAGCCAUGCCGCGUGUAUGAAGAAGGCCUUCGGGUUGUAAAGUACUUUCAGCGGGGAGGAAGGCGGUGAGGUUAAUAACCUUGCCGAUUGACGUUACCCGCAGAAGAAGCACCGGCUAACUCCGUGCCAGCAGCCGCGGUAA